GUGCUCACUUCAGCAGCACAUAUACUAAAAUUGAAAUGAUACAGAGAUUAGCAUGGCCCCUGCACAAGGAUGACACACAAAUUCAUGAAGCGUUCCAUUUUUUU
rnacentral:snRNA from 1 species